UACGUAGGGGGCAAGCGUUGUCCGGAUUUAUUGGGCGUAAAGAGCGUGUAGGCGGCCAGGGAGGUCCGUUGUGAAAACUCGAGGCUCAACCUCGAGACGCCGAUGGAAACCAUCAGACUAGAGUCCGGAAGAGGAGAGUGGAAUUCCUGGUGUAGCGGUGAAAUGCGCAGAUAUCAGGAAGAACACCCGUGGCUAAGGCGGCUCUCUAGUACGGUACUGACGCUGAGACGCGAAAGCGUGGGGAGCGAACAGG
rnacentral:rRNA from 1 species